rnacentral:ncRNA from 1 species
GUUCGACAAUGGCAAACUUGCUGAAAGGCAAGGACGCAAAGCUGAGGGUCUACGGUUCUUUUACGAACUAUGGCAGCCUGGUUACCGAA